rnacentral:rRNA from 2 species
AGUUCACAUCGACGGAAGGGUUUGGCACCUCGAUGUCGGCUCAUCGCAUCCUAGGGCUGGAGCAGGUCCUAAGGGUAUGGCUGUUCGCCAUUUAAAGCGGUACGCGAGCUGGGUUCAGAACGUCGUGAGACAGUUUGGUCCCUAUCUGCCACAAGCGUUGGAUAUUUGAGAGGAGCUAUCUUUAGUACGAGAGGACCGAGAUGGACGAACCUCUAGUGUACCAGUUAUCCUGCCAAGGGUAAGUGCUGGGUAGCUACGUUCGGAAAGGAUAACCGCUGAAAGCAUCUAAGUGGGAAGCCUUCCUCAAGAUGAGAUAUCCUUUAAGGGUCCUGGAAGAAUACCAGGUUGAUAGGUUAGAAGUGUAAGUAUAGUAAUAUAUUAAGCUGACUAAUACUAAUUACCCGUAUCUUUGGCCAU